GACGAACGCUGGCGGCGUGCUUAACACAUGCAAGUCGAGCGGUAAGGCCCUUUCGGGGGUACACGAGCGGCGAACGGGUGAGUAACACGUGGGUGACCUGCCCUUAGCUCUGGGAUAAGCCUGGGAAACUGGGUCUAAUACCGGAUAUGACUCCAUGACGCAUGUUGUGGGGUGGAAAGCCUUGUGCGGCUAGGGAUGGGCCCGCGGCCUAUCAGCUUGUUGGUGGGGUGANGGCCUACCAAGGCGACGACGGGUAGCCGGCCUGAGAGGGCGACCGGCCACACUGGGACUGAGACACGGCCCAGACUCCUACGGGAGGCAGCAGUGGGGAAUCUUGCGCAAUGGGCGAAAGCCUGACGCAGCGACGCCGCGUGAGGGAUGACGGCCUGG
rnacentral:rRNA from 1 species